GCUGGAUUCAGGUGAGAAGGGAGCAGAUAUAGAUCCUGCCCCCGCAGAGCUGCGGACACAGAAACUAGGUAAACAGCGCAGGAGAGACUGGGGAGCCCGCAGAGCAGGCGCGGAGGGAGGGCGGCAGGCAGCAGCGGUCCCAACCGGCCGCCGAGUCUGGAAAGCUCCCCCGAGAAGGACACUCCGGAGCGGCCGCGGAAGGAGGGACUCGGCUCUGCCCCCGGCCCCUCCUGGCUCGGCCCAUGCUGCCAUCUCGGGGGCCUCCGAGGCGAGCUGCCUGGCUUUGGCUCCUGGGCCCCGGCCCUCCCACCCCUGCCCUCCCCGUGGGCCCGCCUCUCGGGGCCCUUCCUGCCUCUUCUCCCGGCACAGCAGCAGCUGCCGAGCAUCUCAGAGCCCGACACCCUGCUCCCGGGGCCAGGGUGCUCCCCGGGGCCCCAGCAGGCUCCAGGGCUCCCCCUGACGGCCAGGCUGGGACAAGGCGAGGGGGAGAGGCUUCCGGGGCCACCGCUCAGGCCCGGGGAGCUGGAGGUAAAGCCUGACCCCCCUGGCGGGGGCUAAGGGCUGUCUGAACCCCAGGGAGGGCUUCUCCCCAGAGACCUACAGACCGG
rnacentral:lncRNA from 1 species